UAAUAAGUUUAAAAGUUGUUGGUUGCAC
rnacentral:sRNA from 1 species